rnacentral:rRNA from 1 species
CAGCAGCCGCCGCGGUAAUACGGAGGGUGCAAGCGUUAAUCGGAAUUACUGGGCGUAAAGUGCACGCAGGCGGUCUGACAAGUCAGAUGUGAAAUCCCCGGGCUUAACCUGGGAACUGCAUUUGAAACUGUCAGGCUGGAGUCUUGUAGAGGGGGGUGGAAUUCCAGGUGUAGCGGUGAAAUGCGUAGAGAUCUGGAGGAAUACCGGUGGCGAAGGCGGCCCCCUGGACAAAGACUGACGCUCAGGUGCGAAAGCGUGGGGAGCAAACAGGAUUAGAUACCCCUGUAGUCCCUGUCUCUUAUAC